CAUUUUAUUCUACUCACCGCAAUCACAUUUUUGGUCAAAAUAUUUCUCCCAAUUCCAUCACCCAACGGUUUCUUCCAUAUCUCCACCUCCCUUGAAAAUCUCCAACCAAAACCCGUUCUUCUUCUCAUAUAUUCUCCCACAACGCAACUUCAUUAUUAUUCCAAUUUGUAGUUACUUUUCAUCUCUUAGACCAAAAGUAUGAAGGAGAAGCCGAGAGAGAGAGAGCUGUGAUUACCUUCUGUUUGUGCAAUUUGCUACUUUCCAAAAGGGUGAGCUUGUGCACGUUGGUUGCGGUUGGAAUAGGAAGUGAUUGAGGAGUAAGCUUGUGAGAUUGAGCGCCGAUGGACGUGGAGGAUGUUGAGCAGAGUCGUUGGAAAAUUAUGUCUUGUGUAGUGUCGGAUUUUUCGGGUCUUCAUACUUGACAUUAUUCAUUGUCUUGACGUUUCCGCUAGUUUCUAUAUCUUUUCCUUCGGAUUGUUUAUCUCUGGAUCUUAUUAUUCGAAGUUAGUUGUUGAGACAGUAUUUAUCGUUUUAAA